UGGGGAAUUUUGGACAAUGGGGGAAACCCUGAUCCAGCCAUCCCGCGUGUGCGAUGAAGGCCUCCGGGUUGUAAAGCACUUUUGGCAGGAAAGAAACGUCAUGGGUUAAUACCCCGUGAAACUGACGGUACCUGCAGAAUAAGCACCGGCUAACUACGUGCCAGCAGCCGCGGUAAUACGUAGGGUGCAAGCGUUAAUCGGAAUUACUGGGCGUAAAGCGUGCGCAGGCGGUUCGGAAAGAAAGAUGUGAAAUCCCAGAGCUAAACUUUGGAACUGCAUUUUUAACUACCGGGCUAGAGUGUGUCAGAGGGGGGUGGAAUUCCGCGUGUAGCAGUGAAAUGCGUAGAUAUGCGGAGGAACACCGAUGGCGAAGGCAGCCUCCUGGGAUAACACUGACGCUCAUGCACGAAAGCGUGGGGAGCAAACAGG
rnacentral:rRNA from 1 species